rnacentral:tRNA from 1 species
CAGGGAAUAGUUUAAAUAGAACAUCAGCUUUGGGUGCUGAUAGUGGGGUUGUUGCUUCUUCCUUGA